rnacentral:rRNA from 1 species
GACGAACGCUGGCGGCGUGCUUAACACAUGCAAGUCGAACGGAAAGGCCCUGCUUUUGUGGGGUGCUCGAGUGGCGAACGGGUGAGUAACACGUGAGUAACCUGCCCUUGACUUUGGGAUAACUUCAGGAAACUGGGGCUAAUACCGGAUAGGAGCUCCUGCUGCAUGGUGGGGGUUGGAAAGUUUCGGCGGUUGGGGAUGGACUCGCGGCUUAUCAGCUUGUUGGUGGGGUAGUGGCUUACCAAGGCUUUGACGGGUAGCCGGCCUGAGAGGGUGACCGGCCACAGUGGGACUGAGAUACGGCCCAGACUCCUACGGGAGGCAGCAGUGGGGAAUAUUGCACAAUGGGCGGAAGCCUGAUGCAGCAACGCCGCGUGCGGGAGGGCGGCCUUCGGGUUGUAAACCGCUUUCGCCUGUGACGAAGCGUGAGUGACGGUAAUGGGUAAAGAAGCACCGGCUAACUACGU